rnacentral:rRNA from 1 species
UACGAAGGGGGCUAGCGUUGCUCGGAAUUACUGGGCGUAAAGGGCGCGUAGGCGGCUCUGUGUGUCGGGUGUGAAAUCCCACCUCUUAAAGGUGGAAUUGCAUUCGAAACUACAGAGCUGGAGUUCCGGAGAGGAUGGUGGAAUUCCUGGUGUAGAGGUGAAAUUCGUAGAUAUCAGGAGGAACACCGGUGGCGAAGGCGGCCAUCUGGACGGAUACUGACGCUGAGGCGCGAAAGCGUGGGGAUCAAACAGG